rnacentral:tRNA from 1 species
GAGGUUAUCUAGGUAGAAUUAUAGAUUCAUUAUCUAUUUAUUGAUAGGUUCAAUUCCUAUAUACCUCA